rnacentral:lncRNA from 1 species
AUGAUGUCUCAUACAGAGGGGGAGUGGCAGGCUGGGCUCCCUCUGUGUCCCAGGAGAUUAGCACGGUGCUCAUCUGUUAAGGCUGCGACAGGACAGGCGAGCCCGGAUGGGUGUCUGUGCAAACCCUGCCGCAGUGUUCAGUGCUUCUAUUUUAAGCAGCAUAGUCUGCACCAUGGAGCAAACUGUUAUUACAUAAACUCCGUCUCGUCAACGCCUCUCAUGUCUCCGCAAGGCGUGGGCUGUGGCCGUGUCCUUAUCGUGGUCCUGGUUACUGAAGUCCAUGCAUUGGGGCUACUUCGAUGGUGGCUGCUGGGCAUCCGUGAAACGUCUGAUUCCUCUCAGCUAGGACCAGGCUACGUGAGGCCCCCGGGCUGACAGCAGAGGGCUCCUUCUGAAGAAACAAUGAGUCUCCUGCCGGGAAGGCAGACUUUGAAGACUCCGCUUCUAUCUGUGGGCUUCUCCCCGGCUUCCCUGAGCGCCAACUGCUCUUUCUCUUCUGUUGCUCGUUUCCCACCAAAGCCCAAGCAGUGUGAAAGAGCGCAUGGUCUGUAUCGGCUACAAAGUAUCUGGACACAAAGCCAGCCCCUCUGUACCCUGCUCAGAAGACCCAUUCCUGCUAUCCGAAGUCUGGCUGAUUUUUCUCUCCACUGUUAAUUCUCGUGCCUAGAUUCGUUCAUGGACACAUUUCCACCCAGGUGAGCAUUCACAAACACAUUGUAAAAUAUAUUUAAAUGAGAUCUAACUCUGGCAACCCUGCAUGUUUUGAUUUGAACAGGAUUUGGUUGCCCAAGCCCUCCAAGAUGCUUAAACCCCAAACUCUAACAUUCACAGUUAACACAUUAAUACUAGUGCCUGGUGCAGUAGGAUGGUUUGCUCCAGUUAUGGCGUCUUCAGGUUGGGGACCUUGGAAGGACUGGGUAGGACUGCAUCGCUUUGGGUUAAGUGCUAGGGAGGAGCCCUGAGAUGCUCUCGUGGUCGCGUUACAGGGAGAGACCACAAGGAGGCACACACAGAGUGUGCUCCGGUGUGUCUGCUUCCUCCAUCCCCCACCUCCCCAGAUGCCUGAACCAUCUUGGACUGGGAAACUCCAAAAGAAGCCACAUUCCUUCCCAAGAAGGGGUUUUAGUUAAAGUGACACAGCGCUGGCUAAUAAAGUGGACGAGUCAUUAACUUAUAUGCGUCCC